rnacentral:rRNA from 1 species
AUAUGGCUCAGAUUGAACGCUGGCGGCGUGCUUAACACAUGCAAGUCGCGCGUGAAAGGACUUCGGUCCGAGUAAAGCGGCGCACGGGUGAGUAACGCGUGGAUGAUCUACCCAUGAGUUAGGAAUAACGGCUGGAAACGGUCGCUAAUACCAAAUACGCUCCGAUUUCAACUUCGGGGGAAAGGUGGCCUCUGCUUGCAAGCUACUGCUCAUGGAUGAGUCCGCGUCCCAUUAGCUAGUUGGUGGGGUAACGGCCCACCAAGGCGACGAUGGGUAGCCGGUCUGAGAGGAUGACCGGCCACACUGGGACUGGAACACGGCCCAGACUCCUACGGGAGGCAGCAGUGGGGAAUAUUGCGCAAUGGGCGAAAGCCUGACGCAGCGACGCCGCGUGAGGGAUGAAAGGUCCUCGGAUCGUAAACCUCUGUCAGGAGGGAAGAACCGCCACGGUGCUAAUCAGCCGUGGUCUGACGGUACCUCCAAAGGAAGCACCGGCUAACUCCGUGCCAGCAGCAGC